rnacentral:lncRNA from 1 species
AAAUGAUUAACUUUUUGGCCCUUUAUAAAUUCCAGCUUGAAUUGGUAGUUACUAUUACAGAAGUAAAUGUGGUUGGACCUUUCUGUUUUCCUUUAUGUUAGUGAAAAAAUUGUAGACAGAUCAUUGCUUGAACUAGUCUUUUGUAGGUCCUUUGACAUUAAAAUUUGCCUCCAAGAAGUGGCCCAGUGAUACAUGCUGUUUUGUUUUAAGUCCUUGGUAGGUACUGGAUUGCACAUGCAUUCACUGUCUUUAUGCCGCAGUACAAAUACCAUUAACCUAAUGAUGUUAAUUUUAUGCAGUUUAGGCAGUGUC